UCUUGCAACCUCAUCCACUUGUUCCUUUAUCUGACUUGCGUCUCUGAUUUCUCCACCGAGCUCGCCUCCUCUUCUUUCUUCAGACCUCCCCGUCUCCUCCGCGUCGGCGCACCUACAACAGUACAGCUCAUCACCAUGGCAGCGCUGCUACAUCACCACACCCCCAUCUAGUGCUAGUAUGCGGGAAACCAACAAUGUGCGGCGUUGAACUCCUCCAGUGGGAUUUUUUGCUUCAGUCGGCGAUGAUGGUGGUUGGCGGCAAUGGCGGUGGCGGAGAAUAAUAAGGAGAUGAUAGUGCUCGGCGGCGACGGCAUGGCCGCUAUGAAUUGUUUUUGCUGGAAUCAAUCUUUGCUCUUGCUACAUGGGAGAAGACUAUGUGAUGGGAAUCAGCUGUAUCCAGUGAAAUUUUUUGCUACAUCCGUCAUCAAUUUUUCUUGGAACCAACACGAGCGUCGGCUAUGACCGUCGCGCGGCGGAGCUACAACUAGGAGAAAUGCUACAACCGGUGCUUCAAUUUGCUAUUGUUGGCGUUUUUUUGUUGGAAUCAGUCGAAAGUAGGCGCGGAGGAGCUGCAUCCAACGACAUAAUUUGCUAUAUCCCACAUCAAUUUUUGCUGGAGCAGGUUGCGGCACAAUA